rnacentral:rRNA from 1 species
UUGGAGGGCAAGUCUGGUGCCAGCAGCCGCGGUAAUUCCAGCUCCAAUAGCGUAUAUUAAAGUUGUUGCAGUUAAAAGGCUCGUAGUUGAAUUUCGGGAUUGGCACAUCGGUCGUGCCUUAAGGGGCAUGAACUGGUGUAGCCAAUUUCUCACCUUCUGGAGAACCGCGAUGUCCUUAAUUGGGUGCCGCGAGGAACCAGGACCUUUACUUUGAAAAAAUUAGAGUGUUUAAAGCAGGCAUUUUGCUUGAAUACAUUAGCGUGGAAUAAUAAAAUAGGACGGAUGAUUCUAUUUUGUUGGUUUCUAGGACCACCGUAAUGAUUAAUAGGGAUAGUUGGGGGCAUUAGUAUUCAAUUGUCAGAGGUGAAAUUCUUGGAUUUAUUGAAGACUAACUACUGCGAAAGCAUUUGCCGAGGAUGUUUUCAUUAAUCAAGAACGAAAGUUAGGGGAUCGAAGACGAUCAGAUACCGUCGUAGUCUUAACCAUAAACUAUGCCGACUAGGGAUCGGAUGAUGUUAAUUUUUUAAUGACUCAUUCGGCGCCUUACGGGAAACCAAAGUGUUUGGGUUC